GGAUCUGGAGUCAGUUGGCUGCGUUGUGAGGAAGAAAGAGUCAGUGCUCUGAGGAGAUGACCAUGAGAAACACCAAGAAGUUUUUAGGUAUCCCAGAAAGAGGAAGCUGACUAUGAAACUAUAUUACAGAAAUCUGAGGAGUAUUUUGUCCCACCUGAAAACAUAUGAAUAUAUACAGAAAAAGAUGGAUUUUGGCAGAGAUUGUGUGAAUGGGAGAAAAACAUAGAGGAGCUUCUGACUGAUAUAAGACUGUAGAGCUAGGCUUGCAAUUUUCAGUACCUGUAUCUUGAAUAAGAGAACAGAUCUUGAAAAGAAGAGACACAGAAUUAAGCUAUGAUUAAAGCAAAUAGAAUUCACCAAUCAAAACAAGCAAUGUAAUACAAGCCUUUAAUUUGUGGAUGGUUUGCAAUCUGGACAUGACAGAAAAUUCAAAACAUUAAAGGAACGGAGGGUUCAGCUAGAAAGGCAUGAAAACCUCAAAGACACUUCACAAAUAAAUACCACAAGAGCAGCACGAGCUGAAAGCAAAUGGGACAUUUCUUAUUCCUAACUGCAAUACAGGAGACCAAUUAAUGAGCUGUCAGAAACAGUUACUUCCCAACUGGAGGAAAAGCCAUAGGUAGCAGAAGGUAAGGAAGUGAAAUUAAAGACUUAGGGAAGGAGGAUUAUGUCGCUAAGUGAUUUUUUUUCCUGGAUGUAUGGGUAAAGAAUUCUCAAAGAUACAGAUUUUAAUAUUACAAGGAAAACUUAAUAUACCUUCUUUAAUAAAAAAGACAUGAUCCCUUA